AACCACACCCUCUGAUGUGAGCAUGUCUGCAAGUCUGCAAGUUGGAGCCAAGGUAUACCUCUAGUCUGGCUGUUCCUGAAAUUACUGGAAGAAGGACUCCAGUCCCACCCACUACGGAACACCAGAAUGCAUCUCAACAGUCUGUAAGCAAUGACUUCUCCCGAGGGUUUUCCUUCUCACUCACCUGGCUGUUUGGAUCUCCAACUCUACUCUCCUUGCUGAAGUCCAUGAAAGUCACCAAACGAGUCUGCAAAAUCCUUUGCAUGGACAGAUACACUAUUUGUCUUCCUCCUUACCCCACGUUCCUCCAGCCAGUUCCCAACGUAUUUGUAAGCUGAUAAAAAUGGAAGACCUUGACAGGAAGAGUCAACAGAAAGGAAAAUUCAGGUAAAACACAAGGAGAGGGGCUCCAGCAUAUGUGUUUGGGGGUGGAAGGAGUGGGCACUUAUGAAUAAAUCUUAAGUUUCAUCACUAUUGUGUAUUUUUUAGUUUUACAUCACACCCAAACACACAUGAGACAGAGCCCAGCUCUCCAUCUUCCCCCACAUACCCAGGGUGGACCCUCCCACCAGUGGUCCAAGUGCACCUGUAGACCAGAGAUCAGCUUAUUUUAAGAGUUUGUAAACCUCUAUUACAUGAGAUAUCCCUGAAUAAUUCAGCUAAUUUAGAAGGAAAAUGGAACACUAUUAAAAUAUCAAAUGUCU